CUGGUUGAUCCUGCCGGGGUCGUGAGAUCGAUGCACGUGAUGGCGCGCAGCAACCACGCUGCCUGCCAGUCUUUCUUGACCGUGCGUCGAGCCACAAGCGUCGCGGCACGUCUUUCUACAGCGCUGCGGUUGACUCUCACCUGCCGCACCCAAUCCGUAUCAAGCUGCAUGCCUGGAUUUCGGACAGGUCGCUGGACCGCCUCGCGCUCGAGGGUGGCCGCCAUGUAUGACCCCCUGCUCGUUGUUCGAGUUCUGUGCCCUUAGCUUACGACGUACGCGAGCUGAGGGCUACCCCUUGACAGCCGCGACAAACGCCGCGAUCUUGUCGAGAUCCUUCUCACCAUUGGUUUCGACACCGCUGCUAACAUCCACGCCCCAGGGGCGCAUGGACCGAAUGGCCGCAUCCACAUUGCCGGCAUGCAGGCCGCCGGCGACGAGGACAGGACGGUUGAGGACCGGCAACAGUGACCAAUCAAAUGUCUCCCCUGUUCCACCGUAUGAGCCCGCGCGAGCGGUAUCGAGAAGCACGAGAUCGGAGGGCAAGUCUGGU
rnacentral:rRNA from 1 species